rnacentral:lncRNA from 1 species
CAAAGCCCAAAUUUGCUCCAGCCCAACAAACUAAAUUAAGCCCAAUUACAGAAACAAAGCCCGGUGGCCCAAAACCUUAAAAAUUUUUGGAAUGGCCAGAAACCCUAGGGUUUCUGGCGCCCCUCGCGCCGUUGCUACCCCAUGUGCGCCUUCAGCGCGCACCACGCCCGAUGUCUGCCACCGCCAGCCCUCCUUUCACCGAAAUGGCAAGUUGACCUUGCCGUGUACCUGCAAACAAGCAACAAAAGAGAGAAAUGGAAGCAGACUAGGAAAACAGUAGCAAAAGAGGAGAUUUUCCCUCGAUUCUUCAGUUUUUCUUUCGGCUAUAAAGCCAAGUAUAUUGUAAAAUGUAGAGG